UACGGAGGGGGCUAGCGUUGUUCGGAAUUACUGGGCGUAAAGCGCGCGUAGGCGGCUUUGUAAGUUAGAGGUGAAAGCCCGGAGCUCAACUCCGGAAUUGCCUUUAAGACUGCAUCGCUAGAAUCAUGGAGAGGUGAGUGGAAUUCCGAGUGUAGAGGUGAAAUUCGUAGAUAUUCGGAAGAACACCAGUGGCGAAGGCGACUCACUGGACAUGUAUUGACGCUGAGGUGCGAAAAGCGUGGGGAGCAAACAGG
rnacentral:rRNA from 1 species